rnacentral:rRNA from 1 species
GAAUCUUCCGCAAUGGACGAAAGUCUGACGGAGCAACGCCGCGUGAGUGAUGAAGGUUUUCGGAUCGUAAAGCUCUGUUGUUAGGGAAGAACAAGUACCGUUCGAAUAGGGCGGUACCUUGACGGUCCCUAACCAGAAAGCCACGGCUAACUACGUCCCAGCAGCCGCGGUAAUACGUAGGUGGCAAGCGUUGGCCGGAAUUAUUGGGCGUAAAGCGCGCGCAGGUGGUUCCUUAAGUCUGAUGUGAAAGCCCACGGCUCAACCGUGGAGGGUCAUUGGAAACUGGGGAACUUGAGUGCAGAAGAGGAAAGUGGAAUUCCAAGUGUAGCGGUGAAAUGCGUAGAUAUUUGGAGGAACACCAGUGGCGAAGGCGACUUUCUGGUCUGUAACUGACACUGAGGCGCGAAAGCGUGGGGAGCAAACAGG